GGGGAACAAACUCUAUCUCUUCCCUACCCCUCGGUUGUCUGAAAAUAGUCCCUAUUUCAGAUCACCUUUCUUUGACCUCAGAAUAAGUCCAGGGAGUGUUCUGGAACAGAUGGAACCUGCCUGGUUUUGUUUUGCUCAAGGUGAAGUUAAAAUCCACUCGCAGUUCCUGGGGUUCCUCCAGCUGAAGUCAGGGCAGAUGGCCUGGAAGCAGAGGUGCCAGAAUGAGUUGCAUCGUGGGAUUAAACUUUGCCUAAAGAGGACCUGAGAGGUGGAUUAGCCACGCACCGGGCCAGGGCCAGCGAAGCAGCGUGCAGGGCCUCGCAGGCGCUCAGCAAAUACACGGUGCGGUCGCUCUGGACCUCUGCCCAUUCACGCGGCGUGUCUUGGAUCAAUUCCAUGUAGUGGUUCCUGGAAUUAGGAAAUGUCCUAGUUGAAAAGGACCAUUUUACAGGUGUGCAGACUGAGGCCCAGACUGGCGAAGGGACUUGCCCGAGGACGCAGCACAAGUCUGGGGAAGGGGUCCAGGAACUGAUGUACUUGGAAAUGUCAGCUUAGUGGAUUUAGCCCAGGGCCUAUCAACUUGACCUGAAGAAGAAUCGGACACUUGGGAGCUGGUCUCCCUGCCGGUUGAAGAGUGAGCUGCCUCCGUCUGUGUGUUCUGGGCUUUCCCACCAUCUCUGGUGCCCACAUCCUGAACAGAGAAGGCAAACAGCAGGGAAGCUCGCCGGCCCUGUUCCUCUGCUCCCACCGUGAACAUCCAUCAGCCACGAUUUCAUGUUGAAUGGGACUGAGGAACUUCAAGACCACGAUUAUUACAUUUUGUACAUUACACUUCUGCCAGAGAGCUAAAAAUACCCUCCUGGUGGUUGCUAAGUGCAGGUCUAAUGGUUUUCCUUAGAGGAAGGAUGGGAUUCUAGUUUCUCUGAAUCUGGAGGCUCCCUGUCCAGGGAAUGAAGAUGUGGAAAUUGUCGGAGCUGGCUGUAAAGUACCCCCUGGGGGCGGAGAAGCUGGAGACAGCCCCAGAGUUCACUUCCCCCCAGUGUCAGGAAGACUCUCCAGGGACUGGUGCCGGCCAAGGUCGUGGAUCCCCUGAAGGAAGACAGCAGGGGCUGUACCUUCCCACAGAGAAGUCUCCCUUAUCUGCAGGCCUCUCCCCUUGAGGUCUGGCUUUCUGACUUUUCAUUCUUGGAACUCUCACUCUUUCAUUGGCUCAGAAUGGCCAGUCCCCAGAGCAGCACUUACCACCUAGAUAUUUUAAAGGUGAAGAGAUUAAUUUAGGGAUAUGGAGCAAAGUCUCAGGAACAGCUCACCUGCCUUGCUAGAAACCUGAUGAUGGAUCUAGGGUGUCUCUCACUUGAGAAAUUAAAAACAGGCUUAACAAGCAUCUAGCCACCCCAAGACUGCCCACCUCCUCCCAUGACUCCACACAUAAACAUAUGAACUUAUUUUUUAACCAAUACAUCAGAAGUCCUAAAUUCAGUUGGGAGACUUGAGCUCCCCUGAGGAGGCCCUCUUGGGGACCCACAUAUUGUGGCCACAUCUCCUGGGAUGGCUUUGACACCUUCUUCUGGAAAGGUGUCCAGCCUCAGGGCACAGCAAGCCCACGUUGCCCCUCUGGAACCAGAAGGUCUCCUCGGGACGUUUGGUCCAUUCUCUGUGUGCUCAAGAGACGUCCGCGUGUCAUUGUUGGGGGGGCGCUGGUUUCUCCUGCUUCUUUUGUUCAGGAGAGCACCGUCGAGCUCACCCCUUGCUUAGGCGGUGCUCCCCACCAAAUCGAAGUUCCCCUUAAACUCCUUUCCUGGAAAAAAAAAAAAAAAAGGAAGUGGGAAGACAAAUCUUUAUGAGUAAGAACUCUAAGCUUGUCCUUGACUCACUACACUUCGUUCCGAAACACUUUCUGCUGUCACUAAAAAUCAAUCCUGCCCUCCCAAGAAGGGCCUUUGCCCCCUUGGUGGAAGACAGGCCUUUAAAGAACACGCAAGAAGUUGCCAAGGCCAUUCCCCUCCCCACGAGGCACGUCCAGAAAUGUUUUAAGCAAAGCAGAAGCUCAGUCCCAAGGUGACGAUUUUGAAAGAACACUGCACUCGAAUGUGUGUCUUCUCAGAUGUUUAUUCAAACAGCCUCGUGGCCUGUGGCUCCUUCUCAUUGGUUCCUGCUGUCGGAGGGGCGAGCAGUGGGGUGAUCUAUUCCAAACGGCGGAUGACCAAAAACUCCCGGUUGCUUGACUUCACAUGUGUGGUGUGAUGUAUAGAGAGCGUACCUAUCUCACAGCGUGUUUGCCUUCCUAAUUCGGUUUUGCUUCCACCAGGAUGGAAAUGAGCUGGCCGGCUGUGACUCAGCAAUUAAUGGCUGGGUCAGGCUGCCUGGAAGCUUUUUGGGUGUGCGCAGCAAUGGUGAACAUCUCAAGGGAUUUAACAUUUUCUACAGACUCCUCGCCCAGUGUGUGAGCCACCCGGGUCUAAUGAAGUGUUGGCUGCCCUCAGAUUCAUUAGUAGCCCAAGAAUUAAACCAACUCCCCCCUCCCGCCGCCCCACCCCUGUCCAGUCAUUCUCCGUUUUCCCCUGCUCCUGCCAGGUAUUUCAUGAAUCUCGAAUACCGCAGGCUGCCAAGCAAGGCAGCUUUGCAUCUGUGGCAAGGGGGCUCAUCUAUAUUCUCAUAUUAACCAUCCUUCCCAGCGAAUUUCAAUAACUUGGAAAUGGGCGUUUAGCAGCUGGAAAAGGGAAGGCACAGUGAGCACGCGGAACAAGUCUAUAAUAAGCACCUGCUUAAAAGAGACCUCUCCAGCCAGAUGCCCUGGGCCUGAUGGGGGCCCCGAGCUGGGGUUCCAGCUGCACAUUAAGAUACACUUAGUCUGUCUUCUCAGGUGGAGGGGGCGGCAUUUCUUUCCCUUUGGGAUGGAUCUGGCCCAGACAGGCUGUUUCUUAUUCAUAAAGCAGAAUUUCCAAGCCAGAUUCCUUCUGCCUGUAAUCCCCUGCCCUCAAGUGGGGCCCCUGGUUUGAGACUCUUUCCUUCAGAAGUGUUUACCUAAGAACUCCUGCCACCUGUCAUGUCGCGCACGCCUACUCGGUCUGCUACGAGCCAGACCAGCCUUGGGAGAGCGUUGCCAUCUCUGCCCUGGCUGGGCUUGCGACUUGAGGACAGGGUCUGUUCUGUCUGAGCGCCCUCAUCCUUUGCACCCCCUGCAACCCCUAACACACAGAACUCCUGGCAGAGGGCAGAGCUCCUGGCAGAGGGCAGGGACAGUUCAGGGUGGAACCACCUGGGGCCUAGCAUUAGGGGACAGUGUUGGGGUGAAUGGCCCAGGACUGGAUCAACAUUCUUACCUGAAGCUUCAUGGGGCACUGGGAGCCAAAGGGGCCUAAGCCAGAGGCAAGGAGGAAACUGAUCUUCAGACCCUGGGAAAACCCAGUGCAGCUUCUCGUCCAAAAGAUCAGGGGCACGAAAAAAAAGGGGGGAGGUUUAACAUUGUGGCGCAGUGGAAAGGAAUCCAACUAGUAAUCAUGAGGUUGUGGGUUCCAUCUCUGGCCUUGCUCAGUGGGUUAAGGAUCCAGAGUUGCCGUGGGCUGUGGUGUAGGUCACAGACUCAGCUUAGAUCCUGCGUGGUUGUGGCAGUGGCCGUGGCCAGCAGCUGUAGCUCUGCUUCAACCGCUAGCCUGGGAACCUCUGUAUGCCCCUGGUGUGGCCCUAACAAGCAAAAACAAACAAACAAAAAACAUCAGAGGUGGGAACAAAAUUCAGACUGCAGAACCAAGAGCUUUGAGUUGGGAAGACAUUGAAUCAGAGGAAGAGCACUGCAUAGCACUGCUCCUGGCCCAGAGGAGGUCCGCUAUGUAGUUUUGGAAUGAAUUAAUGCAGGAAUGAAUGGGAAAGAGGCUUCAGAAUAAUCUGAUUGCUCCCUGAAACCAUGGGCACAUCUCCCCUUAGGAAGCUGGUGCACAUGCUCAGUGGGUCCAUGGGAGUAGCCAGGCCAAUUAAAAGAGCCCGAAGUGCAAGAGUUCUCCUGUGGCUCAGGUGGCUGCUCUGCUGUGGGUUCGAUCCCUGGCCAGGGGAACUUCCACACACCAAGAGUGAGGCCAAAAAAAGAAAAAGGAAAAAGAGUCCAAAGUGCAAUUGAUCCUAAUGUGCUCUCGUCUGAUCUGUUUUCCAAGAAUCCCAGCUCAAAGCUCCUUAAAUGUGUCAUCGCUGUGCUGUUUGGCACUAAGAUUUCUUUGUUUCCCGUUAUCCCUCACCCUCACUUCCUUUAGCUCACCCUAACAUUU
rnacentral:lncRNA from 1 species